rnacentral:lncRNA from 1 species
UGGUAAAUGUAUAUAUAGGUAAAUGUGUGUGCCCUAUUUUCAUUUGUUGAGAUCAAUUUGAAUUGGGGAACGUCGACAACGAUCUUUUCUCGAAUAAGAUGGAAAUGAUCUAUGUGUUCGUGUUUGGUCUGUUAAUGGAGAAUUCAAUUUUGAUCGAUCGGCGAUCGGAAACUUGCGUGCAGGAGUCAUCUGGCAAAAAGUCGUCACGUCAGCGAUAAUCAGAUCCUGGUUCAAUAUUGUAUGCGGAUCACCCCCCCUACUUCGAUAGAAAUGCAUGUUUUGAAGAAUCGGUGUCCUCUCAUUUCGUAUUUUCUAGUGAGUAAUCAUUUCACUCUAUCAAUAGUAGCUUCUUGAUUCUCCCUUGUGAAUAUAUGUUCUUCUAAUCAAUAAUAAUAUAAAAUGAGCUAGUUUUUAAUGACCAGAAUUGGAUAAAUUGGUCAUGUUGCAGCCUUGCAGGUCGCUCUCCUUUAAUCUCGAUAUGAUCGAAAAGUGUGGUGAUUUUUAUUUCCUUAAUUCACCAAAACUCAAUUACUUCUUGAUUUUGAAAGAGCCGAAAUACUAAGGUGUCAACUAAAGUUCGGAUUUGCUAGUCCAACGAGUCAAGUUCGAGCUUAAACUUUUCAAACUAUAGAUAUUAACAGUUAUAAAUAUUAAUUGAUAAAGAUUAUUUAAUAAAUUACAAAAAAAAAUUAAAUCAAAAAAAUAUAGAUAUAGAUCAAUAGAUGUAGAAUUGCAAAUUAAAUUUCAAUUUCGAGCUCGAACUCGAGCCCGAGCUUAAGC